GGGAAACUGCCUGAUGGAGGGGGAUAACUACUGGAAACGGUAGCUAAUACCGCAUGACCUCGUAAGAGCAAAGUGGGGGACCUUCGGGCCUCACGCCAUCGGAUGUGCCCAGAUGGGAUUAGCUAGUAGGUGAGGUAAUGGCUCACCUAGGCGACGAUCCCUAGCUGGUCUGAGAGGAUGACCAGCCACACUGGAACUGAGACACGGUCCAGACUCCUACGGGAGGCAGCAGUGGGGAAUAUUGCACAAUGGGCGCAAGCCUGAUGCAGCCAUGCCGCGUGUGUGAAGAAGGCCUUAGGGUUGUAAAGCACUUUCAGCGAGGAGGAAGGGUUCAGUGUUAAUAGCACUGUGCAUUGACGUUACUCGCAGAAGAAGCACCGGCUAACUCCGUGCCAGCAGCCGCGGUAAUACGGAGGGUGCAAGCGUUAAUCGGAAUUACUGGGCGUAAAGCGCACGCAGGCGGUUUGUUAAGUCAGAUAUGAAAUCCCCGAGCUUAACUUGGGAACUGCAUUUGAAACUGGCAAGCUAGAGUCUUGUAGAGGAGGGUAGAAUUCCAGGU
rnacentral:rRNA from 1 species